rnacentral:rRNA from 1 species
GACGAACGCUGGCGGCGUGCCUAAUACAUGCCAGUAGAACGCUGAAGCUUGGUGCUUGCACCGAGCGGAUGAGUUGCGAACGGGUGAGUAACGCGUAGGUAACCUGCCUGGUAGCGGGGGAUAACUAUUGGAAACGAUAGCUAAUACCGCAUAAGAGUAGAUGUUGCAUGACAUUUGCUUAAAAGGUGCAAUUGCAUCACUACCAGAUGGACCUGCGUUGUAUUAGCUAGUUGGUGAGGUAACGGCUCACCAAGGCAACGAUACAUAGCCGACCUGAGAGGGUGAUCGGCCACACUGGGACUGAGACACGGCCCAGACUCCUACGGGAGGCAGCAGUAGGGAAUCUUCGGCAAUGGACGGAAGUCUGACCGAGCAACGCCGCGUGAGUGAAGAAGGUUGUCGGAUCGUAAAGCUCUGUUGUAAGAGAAGAACGAGUGUGAGAGUGGAAAGUUCACACUGUGACGGUAUCUUACCAGAAAGGGACGGCUAACUACGUG